AAAGGAUUGGAUUGUGCCGGGGAAAGACUAGGUGGCCUUGUGGCGGUGUCGGAUGAUACGGUGGAGGCACUGAAUUGUGGUGCUAGAUGAUGCAAUGGAGGUACCGAAUUAUAUUGUGGUGGUGCUAGAUGAUUUGGUGAAGGAGCUGAGUUAUACCGAGGUAGUUUCGGAUCUUCUCGCUGCAAGGGUAGCUCAAAUUGUGACAGCGGGGGAGGGUUAGACAACUCCCUCUUUUCUUUCCAAGUCUGCUGGACAGAGAUGAGUCUCUUUAGUAUCUCAAAGAGUCAAUCAGCAUCCUCUCGAAGCGAACCAUCUCAGGCUGCUCG
rnacentral:lncRNA from 1 species